GCCUUCGUGGCGCAAUUGCGUAGCGCUACUCCCUCUUAAGGAGAAGGUUAAGGGUUCGAGUCCCUUCGGAGGCA
rnacentral:tRNA from 1 species